GAUGAACGCUGGCGGCGUGCCUAAUACAUGCAAGUCGAGCGAACAGAUAAGGAGCUUGCUCCUUUGACGUUAGCGGCAGACGGGUGAGUUACACGUGGAUAACCUACCUAUAAGACUGGGAUAACUUCGGGAAACCGGAGCUAAUACCGGAUAACAUAUUGAACCGCAUGGUUCAAUAGUGAAAGGCGGCUUUGCUGUCACUUAUAGAUGGAUCCGCGCCGUAUUAGCUAGUUGGUAAGGUAACGGCUUACCAAGGCAACGAUACGUAGCCGACCUGAGAGGGUGAUCGGCCACACUGGAACUGAGACACGGUCCAGACUCCUACGGGAGGCAGCAGUAGGGAAUCUUCCGCAAUGGGCGAAAGCCUGACGGAGCAACGCCGCGUGAGUGAUGAAGGUCUUCGGAUCGUAAUACUCUGUUAUCAGGGAAGAACAAAUGUGUAAGUAACUGUGCACAUCUUGACGGUACCUGAUCAGAAAGCCACGGCUAACUACGUG
rnacentral:rRNA from 1 species